GUAAAGAUCUGUUGAGCGAUUGAAUGAACUGGGAUCCCUGCCCUUGGGGAGCUCAGUCUCAGGGUGGGGGGAGUGGACGAUUAAAGAACUGUAAUUCAGCAACGCUGUUCAGGCGCUCCCAGGAGGCGCCCAGACCAGCCUGGAGAGCUGGGGGUCGGUCUCGGAUGCCCAGCGCACACCCUUCCACGGGGGCGAGGGGGUGACUUUGGAGAGAGGGAAAGAGGAAGACCCUAACCACUGGCUGUUGUUAGGAGGAUGAAGAAUACAGCACAUUUGGCAGAAGGAAGGCCAUUAUUCCCCGCACGCCAGAAACCUCUCUCCUAUCCCCAGGCCAGGCGGGAGCCACUGUAGCCAGAGAAGCUUCCAGACUUCAUCCAGUUUCCCCUUUUUCGUCAGCAGGGGGCAGCAGAGAAGCAGCCCCUUGGCCACCUCUGAAACCUUCCCUGGGGCCGGCGCUGGGGGUACAGGAGGAAGAGGGAUGGCUCCCGUCCUCUGAGGAGGCCCCUCCCGGGAGGGAACCAGCUUUGUGAUUAACCGCGACUCAAGUUAAGGGCCUUGAGAGGCAUGGACGCCCUGCCCUGCGAGGCCUCCCUCCUUCACACGCCUGCUCCUUCAUUCUUCCGUUGAACAAAUGCUUUGUGAGCAGCUGCUGAGUUCCAGGCCUGUGCUUGGCUCUGGGGACGAGAAGAUGGAGAAGAAAUAGCCAAGCCUUCAGCGCACUCACAGCCCAUUGAGGGAGACGUGCUCUAUGGAGAGAGAGAGAGGAGCCGGGUGCAGAGGUGAGACUGUGCUGCUGGCACUACGUGAGGUGACCAGACAGCUGGCAGGAAGCUUCUGGAGAUGAGUGAAAUCUUUAGGAGCAGGCAUGGGUGGUGAGCAGGGCAACAGGAAAAGCCCAGUGGGCUGAACCUCCCUUCCAAGCGCCCAUCACACGCUGCCCGGAAUUCCACCAUCAAAGCCAUUCCUGUGGAUUCGGCUCCUCCGACAUUGAGGGUGUCCUGAAGCCCCCUUCAAUCAGACUCUCCUGCCGAGGCGGGGUGGCCUCGGUGUACGAGAGCUCUCCGAACCCCUCCAGGACGGUGGCACCUCUCCGGAGAGAUCAGGCGCUCAGAAGAGCAGGUGAGACCCCUUCUCCCAUCAGGCUGGGCCAGGCCCUGGAGGCAGGACACGCAGGACCCCUUCCCAGCCUCAGCUGCAGCCUGGGGUCUCCUGGGGAGAGGAGAGCAGAGAGUCCCCACCCGCCCCUACCAGGGCUGGACGGGACGGACCUCCACCUCUCCUGCAAUCCCAUCCGCACCUCUAGAGAACUCCUUGGCGGUCCAGUGGUUAGGACUUGGUGCUUACACUGCCACAGGCCUGGGUUUGAUCCCUGGUUGGGGGGCUAAGAUCCCGCAAGCCGCAAAAAAAAAAAAAAAGCUUACCAUCCCCACCUCUAGCUCCCCUCGCCGGGACCACACCCCCGUACACUCAGCCUCCUGAAGGGAGAUUUCGGGGGAGGCUUUUAGGGCACAGGAGAAACGCUCCCCCCCCACAAACCCCAGCGCAGCCCCUUGCCCCCUUACCCUCUGCAGUGGCCAGGCCUCGCCGGGCCUCACCCGGGAAGAAGCGGGUCAGGGUGACGAGGAAAGCCCCCAGCAAGGUGGCACCCCACAGCACCCACACACGCGGCCACAGCAGCGAGCCCACCGCCUGCGCUGCACCCCGGAGCGCAGCUCCGAGAGCGAUCGCCCCUCCCCAGGGCUCACACCUCGGCCCCUACCCCGUUGGAGCGACAGCCUCCUGGCCCAGCUUCGGUCAUCCCCAGGGCCUCCCACUCCGUCGUGCACCCUUUGGUUAGGGUCGUGGGUUGUAAUGUGUCCUCCCCACCAAAAUAUGUUGAAGUCCUAACCCCGGUACCUGUGAAUGUGACAUCAUUUGGAAAUAGGGUCUUUGCAGAUGUAAUUAGUUAAGAUGAGGCCAUACUGGAUUCAGGCGGGUCCUAAACCCAACGACUGGUGUCCUUAUAAGAAGGCCACGUAAAGACACAGGGACACAGAGACCCACAGGGAGAAGACAGCCGUGUGAAGACGCAGGCAGAGAUGGGGUGGGUGUGUCUGUCUAUCAGCCAAGGGGCGCCAAAGAUCACUGGAAGCCACCAGAAGCUGAGAAGAUGGAAGAAAGUGCUCCUUCCUAGAGCAUUCAGGGGAAGCAUGGCCCCCUGGACACCUUGAUUUUGGACUUCCAGUCUCCAGAACUGUGAAAGAAUAAACGUCUGUGGUUUGAAGCCACCCAGCUUGGGGCAUUUUGUUACAGCGGCCCUAGGAAGCUAAUACGGGCAAGGGUGUCUCCCCAGAUGGCUUUGUUCAGCACAUUCGGCUGCAUUCGGCUCUCUGCCGAAGAGCGCAGAAUCCCAGGAGCUCCUCACAGCCGGCUCCUCCGCCCGUACGCGGGCUCCCCGCCCCCGCCCCUCGCCGUCUCUCCACCAACAACGUGGUCAGUUGCACAGCAUCCUGUUCUCAUUCAGUGGCAAGGAACGGGGUGAGGUGAGUAGAA